rnacentral:rRNA from 1 species
UACGUAGGGCGCAAGCGUUGUCCGGAAUUAUUGGGCGUAAAGAGCUCGUAGGCGGUUUGUCGCGUCUGCUGUGAAAUCCCCGAGGCUCAACCUCGGGCUUGCAGUGGGUACGGGCAGACUAGAGUGCGGUAGGGGAGACUGGAAUUCCUGGUGUAGCGGUGGAAUGCGCAGAUAUCAGGAGGAACACCGAUGGCGAAGGCAGGACUCUGGGCCGAUACUGACGCUGGAGGAAGCGAAAGCCGUGGGGGAGCAAACAGG